rnacentral:rRNA from 1 species
GGUUAAGUCAGGCAACGAGCGAGAUCCGCGCCUUUAUUUGCCAACAAGAAGUCACGGCUUCGUUGGGAACACUAAAGGGACCGCCUUCGAUAAGACGGAGGAAGGAGCGGGCAAAGGCAGGUCAGUAUGCCCCGAAACCCCUGGGCUACACGCGGGCUGCAAUGAUAUGAACAAUGGGCAGUAACUCCGAAAGGAGAAACCAAUCCCGAAAUCAUAUCUCAGUGGGGAUUGUCGGCUGUAACCCGCUGACAUGAACGUGGAAUCCCUAGUAAUCGUGUGUCAUCAUCGCACGGUGAAUACGUCCCUGCUCCUUGCACAAA